rnacentral:rRNA from 1 species
UACGUAGGGUGCAAGCGUUGUCCGGAUUUAUUGGGCGUAAAGAGCUCGUAGGCGGUCUGUCGCGUCGGAUGUGAAAACCCAGGGCUCAACCCUGGGCCUGCAUUCGAUACGGGCAGACUAGAGUACGGCAGGGGAGACUGGAAUUCCUGGUGUAGCGGUGAAAUGCGCAGAUAUCAGGAGGAACACCCGUGGCGAAGGCGGCACUCUGGGACGGUACUGACGCUGAGACGCGAAAGCGUGGGGAGCAAACAGG